AGGGUUUGAUUAUGGCUCAGGAUGAACGCUGGCGGCGUGCUUAACACAUGCAAGUCGAGCGAAGCACUCUGCUUUGAUUCUUUCGGGAUGAAGAGCAUUGUGACUGAGCGGCGGACGGGUGAGUAACGCGUGGGUAACCUGCCUCAUACAGGGGGAUAACAGUUAGAAAUGGCUGCUAAUACCGCAUAAGACCACAGCACCGCAUGGUGCAGGGGUAAAAACUCCGGUGGUAUGAGAUGGACCCGCGUCUGAUUAGCUAGUUGGUGGGGUAACGGCCUACCAAGGCGACGAUCAGUAGCCGACCUGAGAGGGUGACCGGCCACAUUGGGACUGAGACACGGCCCAA
rnacentral:rRNA from 1 species